GACGAACGCUGGCGGCGUGCUUAACACAUGCAAGUCGAACGGAAAGGCCCUGCUUUUGUGGGGUGCUCGAGUGGCGAACGGGUGAGUAACACGUGAGUAACCUGCCCUUGACUUUGGGAUAACUUCAGGAAACUGGGGCUAAUACCCGAUAGGAGCUCCUGCUGCAUGGUGGGGGUUGGAAAGUUUCGGCGGUUGGGGAUGGACUCGCGGCUUAUCAGCUUGUUGGUGUGGUAGUGGCUUACCAAGGCUUUGACGGGUAGCCGGCCUGAGAGGGUGACCGGCCACAUUGGGACUGAGAUACGGCCCAGACUCCUACGGGAGGCAGCAGUGGGGAAUAUUGCACAAUGGGCGGAAGCCUGAUGCAGCAACGCCGCGUGCGGGAUGACGGCCUUCGGGUUGUAAACCGCUUUCGCCUGUGACGAAGCGUGAGUGACGGUAAUGGGUAAAGAAGCACCGGCUAACUACGUG
rnacentral:rRNA from 1 species